rnacentral:rRNA from 1 species
UACGUAGGUGGCAAGCGUUGUUCGGAAUUACUGGGCGUAAAGCGCGUGUAGGCUGCCCCGAAAGUCAGGUGUGAAAGCCCUGGGCUCAACCCAGGAAGUGCACUUGAAACUUCGGUGGCUUGAGUUCUGGAGAGGAUGGCGGAAUUCCAGGUGUAGCGGUGAAAUGCGUAGAUAUCUGGAGGAAUACCGGUGGCGAAGGCGGCAUCCUGGACCGGCAUUGACGCUGAGGAGCGAAAGCCAGGGGAGCAAAGCGGG